CAAUAGCGUAUAUUUAAGUUGCUGCAGUGAAAAAGCUCGUAGUUGGAUUUCGGGUGGGAAUGGCCGGUCCGCCGUUUCGGUGUGCACUUGCUACGCCCACCUUGCUGCCGGGGACGUGCUCUUGAGUUCACGCUCGGGACACGGAGUCGGCGAGGUUACUUUGAGUAAAUUAGAGUGUUCAAAGCAGGCCUACGCUCUGAAUACAUUAGCAUGGAAUAACACGAUAGGACUCUGGCCUAUCUUGUUGGUCUGUAGGACCGGAGUAAUGAUUAAGAGGGACAGUCGGGGGCAUUCGUAUUUCAUUGUCAGAGGUGAAAUUCUUGGAUUUAUGAAAGACGAACUACUGCGAAAGCAUUUGCCAAGGAUGUUUUCAUUAA
rnacentral:rRNA from 1 species